GUGCUUGCUUCGGCAGCACAUAUACUAAAAUUGGAACAAUACAGAGAAGAUUAGAAUGGCCCCUGCGCAAAGAUGACACGCAAAUUCGUGAAGCAUUCCAUAUAUAU
ensembl:snRNA U6 U6 spliceosomal RNA